GUUUAGGAUUUGGUUAGGAUUUGAUUUAGGGUUUGGAUUAGGAUUUGGAUUAGGGUUUGGUUAGGAUUUUAUUUAAGGUUUGGUUUAGGAUUUAGGAUUUGGAUUAGAGUUUAGGGUUGGAUUAGGGUUUAGAUUAGGGUUUGGAUUAGGGUUUAGGAUUUGAUUAGGGUUUGAUUUAAGGUUUGGAUUAGAGUUUGGACUAGGAUUUGGUUAGGGUUUGAUUUAAGGUUUGAUUUAGGGUUUAGGAUUUGGAUUAGAGUUUAGAGUUGGAUUAGGGUUUAGAUUAGGAUUUGGUUAGGGUUUGAUUUAGGAUUUGGAUUAGGGUUUAGGAUUUGGUUAGGAUUUGAUUUAGUGUUUGGAUUAGGGUUUGGUUAGGAUUUGAUUUAAGAUUUGGUUUAGGGUUUAGGAUUGGAUUAGGGUUUGGUUUAGGAUUUGAUUUAGGGUUUGGUUUAGGGUUUAGGAUUUGGAAUAGGAUUUAAUUUAAGAUUUGUUUAGGAUUUGACUUAGGAUUUAGGAAUUAUUAGGAUUUAAGAUUUAAUUAGGUUUGGUCUAAAUUUGAAUAAAAUUCAAUAGGUUUUUAACUAGAAUUAAAUUAAGGUUGAAUUAACAUAUAUUUGAGUAAAAUUUGUGAUCAUUCUAAUAUUUCUUUAAGAAUUUUAUUGUUUCUUUGAAAUUUCUUUGAGUUGUUUUGAAUUUGAUUACAUUUGUUUACCAUUAUUGUAGUCUAAUUAGAGCAUUGUUAGUAUUCUAUUUAGGAUUUUUUUAUCGCAAUUUCUAUUCUUCCUUCUACAGCCAGGUGUCCGGAGCAUUCUCAAGCAAGACUUCACACAUUACAACAUAUUUGGUGAACCCGACGUGAAACGCUUGAAGUGGAAGGAAUUUAUUAUUAUUUUUUUUAUUUGAAUUUUGGAGAAGGAAUUAAAGGAGAAUGGAAGGAGGCAAUUUGGAUUGUGCUUCAAGUGGAGUUGGAAGAAGAGCUUCAUUUGGAGGACAAGGUAUGCAUUUUGAUCCUAACUCCACAAGCAUGUUUGAAGCUUUGACCUUAUUCAUGCAACAACAAGAGCAACAGGUUAAAGAUCGCAAAGAGAGUAUAGCUAAUAAAGCAUUAUAAGCGGUCGUAGACAAGAUUGAUCAAUUUGAAGGAAAGGAUAUUACAAAAUAUUUAAGAUGUUAUGUAAAGGAAAUGGAAUUGAAGCAUAUUUCGGAAAGUGAAAUGGUUCAAUUAUUUGAAUUAGCCUCUGCACGAGAGAUAAGAAAUCAAGUUAAGUUUCUUAUUCAAAACUUUGGAGGUUCAUGGGAGAAAUUUUCUCAAGCUUUGAAGGAUGAAUUUUUCUUAGAAGAUAGUGAUAGAGUUACAAAAAGAUCUUUUUUUGACUGGAUUGAAAAGCCAAAGAAAGAUCUUCUAGCAAUAGAAUUAUUAAGGAAGUUUAAAAAGCAAUAUUCUUCUUUAUCAAAGAAAGAAAGACAAUUAUUGGAUCCAAGUAAGGUGGAGCUCUUUCUUCAAGCAGCUGAUGGCAAGUUGCAAGAGAAGUUGGAAUUCAUGCUUGAAGAUAAAAAAGAAGAUGAAGGAUUGAGAACAAAUUGGAAAAGGGUAGAGGAUGCUGUAAGGACGAUUACAAAAAGAGAAAAGAAAAAAGAUAUGAAGGAUGAUCAAAGACCAUUACAACCAUCUAAGAUAAAGGUGUCUAGUAUCCAUCUGACAUCUUUAAUUCAACCUUCAAUGGCUACAUCAAAGAAAGAAGAAACAUGAAUUGAUGAAAUCAUACGUGGGAUGAGAAAUUUGUAAAUAAAAUUUGUAAAACUUGAAGAGAAAGGUCAAUCAUCAAGAAUAUCAACAAAACAAAGACCAAGGCCAAUGGACGGUGUAGUACAUAGAUGCAUGUGGUGUGACAGCAUAGAUCACUCAAGGAAGGAAUGUGAAGAAUUUACAGAGUUGUUUUUUUAAAGAUGGUAUGAUACACUCAAAAGAACAUGGAGAAAAAUUAGAAACAAAUUUUGAUAAAGGAAGAAUGAAGUUAUUUAUUGGAGAUACUUUUAAAGUGCAGACAAUCUCAAGCAAUGAAGCAUCAAUAUAUUGGGUGGAAGCAGAUCCUAGUAGAUGUUUAAGUAUAAACCUUGAUUUUUCAAUAGAAUCUAGUUUUUUGUGGACAAGUGCAAUGAGGUAUGCUGAAAGGAGAAAUUUUACUAGAGAUGAUUUGAAACAGGUUGGUAAUAACAUUUGACAAAUUACUGGGUGGAAUGAUCCAGUAGAUAGACUAUCUAUACAUGCUCAUAUUGCAAGGAGUCAACAUGAAGCAUUAAUAGAAGAAAAACGAAGGAGAGAUGAAAAUAAUGAAGGGCCUUUAAAAAGAAUUACAAGGGGAGAAAAAGCACAACAACAAAAAAAUUCUAUACAUGAAGAGACAAUGGAGAGCAUUUCUAUAAAAGAAAGGGAAAUUGGAAAAAAAAAAAAGCAAAGGCUCCUGCUUAUAAAUUACAAUCAGAUAUUGAAGCAGCUACAGAUUUGAAGAAGGUAUUCGAGGAGAGGAUUUUAAGUGAAAAGGUUGAAUUCACAAUUGGUGAAAUUCUAGGAAUUGCAAAGCGUGAGUUUCAUGAAGUUAUUAUUGAUACAAUAAAGAAAAAAUGAAAAUCUAUAGGAGACUCUAUGACAUCAAAUGCACAAGGAAUAAGAGCAAUGGAAAGAAAUGAAGAUGAAGAAGAUAAAAUACAAAAUUUUGGAGAUGCCUUGCGAGUAAGGUUUGGAGAAAAAGAAGAUGUCAUUCAAGCUUCUAGCCAUUAUUCUAGAAGUCAUUGGGCAAGGGCUACAAUGGAGACUUUAAUAAAAUUGGGAAAUUUAGAAGAACCAGUUGUAGCAUUAAUUGAUCAUGGUUCUAAAAUCAAUUUGAUAUCAAAAGAAUUAUAUAACAAGGAAAAAUGGCCUAUUGAUACUGAACAUGGGUGGAUGAUAAGAGCUGCGAAUAAUUCAAAGAGAGAUUUGCAUGGAGCAUGUCUAAAUAUCAAAGUGACAAUUGGAGAUGUUAUUCAUGAACAAAAUUUCUUUGUGCAAGACAUGUCUACAUAUCCUAUUAUAAUGGGACAACCAUAUAUUAUUUCCACAUGAAUGGAAACAAAAGUAAUGGAUGAUGGUUCAUCUUAUGUAAGAAUAAGAAGCCAAGAUGGGAUGAAAGCAGUUGAAAAAUUUGAAGACCUUGAGGAUUUUUACCACACACCAUUGUAAGGCGGGGUUGCAAUGUAUUAGAGAAAGAAAUACUCCUGCUUAAUUUAAAAAAAGAAUUAUUAUCUACCGGACUUAUUGAGAUGACACAAAAUUGUGUAUUGACUUUUAAGACUAUUGACAAAAUGGAAAAGAGGGACAGAUGUUAUAUUAAAAAUAUAGAAAAAAAUUUGAAAGAAAAUGGAGAAUUGGUUGAAAAUGAAUUUAUUUCAGGAACAUAUGAAGAAGUAGGUUUUGCAGAUACUAUGGGGGAAUUAAAUUAUCUAUUACAAUGUGGAUUACAAGUAGAGAAUAGAGUUAUUAAUGUGUGUUCUAAAGAAUUUUAUGAUGAAAUUCAAGGAUUUAAAGAAAAUUUAAGUCGCCAAGAGGUAUAUGUUGAAACUAAGUAUAAAUCAAUAGCAAAGAAGGUCAAACCAGUGGCUUUGCCACUACCAUGUGAUUGUGAAGAAAUGAUAAGUGGAGCAUCGACACAACCAAAUCUAAGAGAUCUAAAGAAGAUAGGGCAUAAAUUUAUGGAUGUUACAUUAGAUGGGUUAAAUAUUGGAGGUGAUGGAUUUUUGACAAAAUGUGAAGAAAAAUAUUUUAGGAAUAUGCUUUCACGUCAUGGAAAAGCUUUUGCAUUUAAAGCACAUGAAAUUGGGUGUGUUGAUCCAAAUAUUUUAGCAUCCAUGGUUAUUUUUACUAUUCCUCAUGAACCAUGGAAUUUGCGACCAAUUCUAGUACCAAGAGCGUAUUUAUCUAAGUUAGUAGAUUUACUCAAUUAAAAGAUUAAAAUAGGAAUUUUGAAACCAUCUAUAGCACCUUAUUCUAAUCGAUGGUUUACAGUGCCAAAGAAAAAUGGAACAAUGAGAUUUAUACAAGAUAUGCAACCCGUAAAUAAAGUAACUAUUAGAAAUAUGGGUUCAAGUCCAAUUGUGGAUGAAUUUAUAGAAGCAUUUACUGGAAGAGCUAUCUACUCAAUGGGUGAUCUUUAUUCAGGUUAUGAUCAAUUCCAAUUGGCAAUACAAAGUAGGGAUUUGACAACUAUGAAGACACCGUUAGGAUUGGUUAGAAUGUGUACAUUACCAGAAGGGGCUACAAAUUCUGUAGCACAUAUGAUGAAUGGAAUGCAUAAGGUAUUAAGAGAUUUUAUUCUAAAAAUAACAAUACCUUUCUUGGAUGAUGUACCUAUUAAGGGACGUGAAGAAGAAAGAAAGGAUGAAACUUUAGAUUCAAAGGGAUGUAGGAAUUUUGUGGCAGAUCAUAUUGAAGAUUGUGAGAAGAUUUUGAAAAGAUUGGAAGAAGUUCAUUUAACCUUAUCGGGGACAAAAUCAAUAUUUGGAGUCAAAGAAAUUUUGGUAGUAGGACACAUAUGUGGUUCAUAUGGACGUAAGCCAAGUAUAGAAAAGAUUGAUAUUAUUAAAAAGAUGAAAGAAUGUACAAAUAUAAUAGAAGUGAGAAGAUUUUUAGGAGCAUGUAUUUUCUAUCAUAUAUGGAUACCUCACUUUGCACAUAUAGUAGAUCCAUUAUGUAAGUUGUUAAGAAAGAAUCAAAAAUUUCAAUGGAAAGAAGAACAACAGAAAGUUAUGGAAAAAUUGAAAGAACUUCUUUUUUCAUCUCCAACUUUGAAGAAAGUAAAUUAUGAAGGUGGAAGGCCAGUGGUAUUAACAGUUGAUGCAAGUCCAAUUGGAAUAAGUUGGACGGUUGGGUAAGAUGAUGAACAAGGAAAUAGAUAUAUAGUAAGAUUUGGAGCAAAGGUAUUGAAUUCUAAGUAAAGGGCAUAUGCGCAAAUCAAAAGAGAAUUAUGAGGUAUAAUAAUAGCUAUGAAAAAUGAAAAAGAGUACUUGAUUGGAGCAUCAGUAGUUAUAGAAACAGAUUGUCUACCUUUGUUAGGCAUGAUUACAAGUUGUUCAACUCCUGAUAUUGUUAUGUUGAGGUGGAUAGCAUAUAUCAAAUCUAUGAAUCCUGAAUUUAAACAUAUUGUAGGGAAAGAAAAUUCAGUUGCAAAUAUGUUAUCGAGAGCAAGGUAUAAUGAUGAAGAAAAGAUGAUUGAUUUAGAAGAUGAUGUGGGUACAAAAUUUUAUACCAAUGCAUUAUCAAAGGAAAAGGAUAUAUGUUUUAAUAUAUCAUUAGAAGCAUUUUUAAGAGAUUUAUAUGAAAAUGAAUGGAAAGAUGUUGGAGAGUAUUUGAGUACAUUAAAAUGACAAAAAGAUUAGAUAGAUCAAGAAUUUAAGAAAAUUCGUAAGAAAUCCUAUGGAUAUUUUUUAUAUGAUGGAUAUUUAUGGAAGCAUCCAAAAAAGAGAGGAAAAGUACCACAAAGGGUGAUAUGUGAUUUAGAAGUUCAACAAAAGAUUAUUAAAGAAUUUCAUGAAAAUUUAUGGGUAGGACAUCGAGGUAUUUGGACAACAUUCACUAAGUUCAAGGAAAAAUAUUGCUGGAAGAGAAUGUACAAAGACAUAGCAAAAUUUGUAGAAUCUUGUGAGACUUGCCAAGUAUAUUCAAAUAUUCGACAUCGAGAUGGAUUACAUCCAACAUAUCCUUUGGCUUUACAUUACAAAUGGGUGGUGGAUUUAGUAGCAAUGCCUAUAAGACUUGGACAAAUGAAAUAUUUGGUACUUGUAUGAGAAGAUUUAUCAAAUAUGGUUGAAGGACGAGCAUUAAGAACAAAGGAUACUAAAGGUGUAUGUCGAUUUCUAUUAGAAGAAGUUAUUUGUCGCUAUGGUUGUAUUGGAAAAAUUAUGACAGAUAGAGGUGAAUUGGAUGCAAAGGAAGCACGAGAAUUCUUUAAUCGGAUAGGAAUUAAACUUUCAUUAACAACUGCAUAAAAUCUAGAAGGUAAUGGUAAAAGUGAGGGUGGACAUUCACCUAUUGUAAAGGCAUUAGUAAAGGCAUGCAAUGGAAAAGUACAUGAAUGGCCUAGACUACUACCAUUUGCACUAUGGGCAGAUCGUACAACUCAUAGUUCGGUAACAGGUUAUAUGCCUUCUGAAUUAGUAUAUGGUCAAAAACCAGUAAUGCCAAUAGAAGAUGUAGUACCUACAUGGAGUGUAUUGCCUUGGAAGAAUGAGCUCAAUAGAGAAGAACUUUUAGCAUUACGGAUUCAAAAACUAGAAAGAAGAUCCAACGAUAUUAAAAUAGCAAUAAAAAAAUUGAAAGAAGCAAUGAAAAAGAAUAAAGAAAGAUUUGAUAAAAAACAUCGAUUACGACCCAAGGCUAUUGAAGAUGGUGAUUGGGUAUUAGUUUAUGAUAGUAGCUUAGACAAUCAACAUAGCACUAUGAAGAAUUUUGCAAAGAGGUGAUUUGGACCUUAUAUUUUCAAAAGGGCACACAACAAUGGAACAUAUUCAUUACAAGAACUUGAUGGUACAGAAUUGAAGGUAUCCAUAGCAGGCAAACGAAUCAAGUUAUUUAAACAAAGAGAUGAAGGCAUUUGUUUUGAUGAAGAACAAACUCAAAUAUAAGAUAUUGAGAUUGGAAUAGAAGAGCAUAUCGAAGAUCAAGAAUUGUACUAAGAUGAAGAACAUUCUACAUCAACAUAUUGAAGAAUCAUUGGUGCAUGUCAGAGGAUGCACAAAUUCAGUGGGGGUGGAUGUCAUGAUGUAAUACAAUUAAUAUGUGAAAGAGUGUGGAGAUUAUUAUAAUUUAAGAGAUCUUAGUUCAAAGUAUUAGAACAAAUUAUCUUAAAAAUAUAGUUAAUAGCCAAAGGGGUAGAAAAAUUAAAAGGUAUCAAUGCUGCCUUUUAGAAAGGUGACUUCUACUUACUUUGUAGUACCAUAAGUAAGGCAAAUCAAAGUAGAUUGGGAAAAUAAAUGAUAUAGGAAUCUUUAGAAGAAAGUUAAGAAUAAAUUCUAGAAAAAAGUUACUUAGAAAAACUAGAUAUUGAUACCCGGAGAGGGCCGGUUAUGAACCAGGAUCGAAAUCAGACCCUGAGGCACAAAAUCGAGUCUCGAUGACGACUCCAAGACUCUUUGGCAGAUCGGAGAGUGGAGUUUGGCUAAGGUUCGGUUUAGAGUUUGGAUUAGAGUUUGGAUUAGGAUUUGGAUUAGGGUUUAGGAUUUGGUUAGGAUUUGGCUAGGGUUCGAUUUAGGAUUUGGAUUAGGAUUUGGAUUAGAGUUUGGAUUAGGAUUUGGAUUAGGGUUUGGUUAGGGUUUGAUUUAAGGUUUGGUUUAGGAUUUAGGAUUUGGAUUAGAGUUUAGGAUUGGAUUAGGGUUUGGAUUAGGGUUUGGAUUAGGAUUUAGGAUUUGAUUAGGAUUUGAUUUAAGGUUUGGUUUAGGAUUUAGGAUUUGGAUUAGAGUUUAGGGUUGGAUUAGGGUUUGAAUUAGGGUUUGGAUUAGGAUUUAGGAUUUGGUUAGGGUUUGAUUUAGGAUUUGGAUUAGGGUUUGGUUAGGAUUUGAUUUAAGGUUUGGUUUAGGGUUUAGGAUUUGGAAUAGGAUUUAAUUUAAGAUUUGUUUAGGAUUUGACUUAGGAUUUAGGAAUUAUUAGAGUUUAAGAUUUCAUUAGAUUUGGUCUAAAGUUGAGUGAAAUUCAAUAGGGUUUUAACUAGAAUUAAAUUAAGGUUGAAUUGACAUAUAUUUGAGUAAAAUUUUUGAUCAUUCUAAUAUUUCUUUAAGAAUUUUAUUAUUUGUUUGAAAUUUCUUUGAGUUGUUUUGAAUUUGAUUAUGUUUGUUUACCAUUAUUAUAGUCUAAUUAGAGCAUUGUUAGUAUUCUAUUUAGGAUUUUGUUAUCGCAAUUU
rnacentral:lncRNA from 1 species